ensembl:lncRNA
CAGAGAUCUCUGACUAGAAAUACAUUUGUGGGAAUAAUGUGGAGAUAGCCUACCUGCUGCUACUGUCUGAGAUCUUUUUGGUAGCUACGGAUCCACUGAAGAGAAUGAUAAAAUAAGAAGGAGAAAUAUGCAGGGAAAAAAAAAUAAAAGCUUUAUAUCAAUGUAGGGGCCCUAUCAGAUCCCGUGGGAGGAUUUUGUAUUUUUUUGUAAUUAGAAGAGGCUACAAAACAAUGAUGACAACUGAAGGGAUUUAAAUGUGAGUGAUGAAACAACUGUUUCCACCAAUGAAUAUCUGGAAAGCUGCAGAGACCAAGAUGACUACUGAGCCCUGUUCCUCUGGAAGCUGCACCUUCCUGUGGGCUCUGCACCCUUUCUGAACCUGCUGGCGAUGUUAUCUCCUCUGUCACCAGAACUGUUGUCCUUUCAUCAGCUGCACCAGGAUCUGUAACAUCAGGAUCUGCUAUUAUGCAGAAAACCAGCUUGUGGCCUAUAGACAUGAGCAGCUCAGGGAAGAUCCCUAGGAACCCAAGAAAGUUUUCCCAGCAACAAGUGAGGAAGGUGUGAGAACUCUGAUUCUGAGCUUGGGUGGCCUUGUGUACAGCAGCAGUAUCCUCCUGGCCAUUAUUUGUUUGUUGCAUAUGUGUGAGGAAGAAUUCAAUUCCUUUUGGAUAUUGUGGUUUAUGCCAGCAUUAUUCAUGUCUUUUCCCAGGCCUUUACAAGCUGGGAAAGUCACCUUGUGUUCAACCAAUACUGGGUGUAUCCUGCUUCAGCUAUUGUCAGCGAGCCAGCAUUUCAUCACUCGGCACAAUUGCAGUCACAUAAUGGAGGCAGGAACUGCUGAAAUAAAGCAACACCGAGAGCUUGUCAGAAAUGUAAAUGACAUUGCACCUAUUGUCAGCGAUGUAUACUCCAUUGUUCUCACAAUUGUUUUCCAGUUGAAAAAAUGUUGGUGAGCUUGCAUGAUGAGACCAGUCUAAGCGCUGCUUACUGCAACAUGCUUCAUCAAGAAGAGCUAACUGAUCUCGUGAUACAGGCAGCACAUGUGUAUGGCAAGGUGGUGCUUCUGCAAAGUGGUGGCUGCACCAGUUUCUCCUGGAUGUGUCAGCAUUGUGGGGAAUGCUGAAAAUGCACACUACUGUGGGAAAAGUAUCUGCUACUGACCUAUGCUGAAAGCAAAUACAUGAGAGUGUCUCACUAGAUUUUGUCCUGAAAGAGAAGGAUUCUUCUUCUUGAGAGGGAGGAAGAGCAUGAGAUCAGAUGGGAGGCAAGCAGAAAAGGCUAGCUACAGUGAAUAUUAUCUAUGUCACUAGCAAAUGUACUACAUGUUGGAUGGAAGAAAGGAGGAAAAUGAGCACGGUGAAUACAGAACUCAAGGCAUGGAUUUGUCAGGAAGCUCUUUGAACCCUACCGUGGCAUGAGAUGUGAGGAACAACACAGAGUCAUGAAUUUUAGGCUUUCAUAUUUAAUCAACUGACACAGGAAUCAUUUAUAAUCCUGAAUUGGAACCCCCCCCCAACACCUAGAGGUGAACACUGCUGUGCAGAGCAUGGCUUCUCUCUCCUCCCCUUGUGGCACUUCUGUUUCUUCCUGGCCCCGUAGCCUGCAUUCCCCCUAGCCUUCUGUCCCAGGGAGUAUCUCCUCUCUUCCCAUCCCCACCAAACAACCCAGGGAACCUGUUAAAUCUUGAGGGUACAGUUCAGCUCACUCACCCUCAUCAUCAGCCAUUUGAGAGGAAGACUGGUAACAGACCACCGUCCUGUUUGGGGGAGCAGGAAGCAUGGGCAGGUGCUGUAGCCAGCUCCAUGGAGCAGAUUGCAGCGCUCCCUCCAUGAAGAGGUACAUGCUGGUGAGAACAGCCAUUUGGAAAACUACAUGAAAGUUUAGAGCUGACAUUUUUGUGGGCCAGAUGUUAUGAUUUGCACUGGCCCUGAACUGCAAAGUAUGUCUGCCUUCUAUUUUCCCUUGAAGGGAAUCCACCCUAAUGAAUUCUGUAGUGAUGUUUGUUUUCUUGCAAAAAUGACUGAGCAAAACUCCCCCAAAAGCCAACUUUUGUGGUACUGUUAUUUACCUGUGCUGCAAAGAACAUUAAAAGGUAGUCCAUCAAGUGGCUAAGAGGAGUAUAAAUAAACACCACUGUCAGACUUUGAAUUUUAAUUUAUUGCACUUAUUUGUUUAUUGCAUUUUCUUCAUUUUAUCUGUUUUCUUGCAUAUGAGAAAGGGAGAGAGGAAAACCUAUCACUGUGAUAUUAGAAUCCAUUUUUAUAUUUAUUGCUCUUUCAUUUUUUCAAAUAAAUAAUAAAAUUAAAAUAGCAAAUAAAUAUAUCAAAAGUCAAAGUUAACACUUAUUUCCAUCAGCAUGUACAAUUGUUCUUUUAGGCUUAUGGAUUUUUGCCUCAGAAGGAUUAGGGUAUUCAAAGAGUUAAGACAAGCCAAAAAACAUUGUUUAGAUCAUUGCAAGGGGUGUGUGAAGAGAUUUCCUCCGGGAUAGCGACAGAAAUCAUUUAAAAGUUCAAGGAAAGAAGCUUCCACAGCUUUCCUGGUGAGAGUCCUGCAGCUCAUUAGCACUCAUUGAGUCUUUCCUGCUCUUUAGGCCCACCCUUCCCUUACUUUCUUAUAGUGAGAUAUUAAUUUGCGAU